UGCCCGGUGGUGUAAUGGUAGCACACGAGCCUUUGGAGCUCUGGGUCUAGGUUCGAAUCCUAGCUGGGCAACCA
rnacentral:tRNA from 1 species